CUCAUUUUCAACUCUUAUUUUCUUCUUCCAUUCAAAUUGUUUCAGUUCACAUUAGUAACUAAUCUGAGUCACUCUCAUGAUAAUUAUGUUCACCGUACCAUUUGUUUUUCCAAGGUUUAGUUUGCGACUUCAGUGACUGUAAAGGCAUCUUUAAACGUUGAUAUCUUCAUGCAUAAAUAUGUGUUAUAUAAAACAGAGAAAGGACAUACCAUAAUGACUUGCUUAUAGUUUGUGACAGUGGCCUUCCCUACCAGGCUGCCACAUUCAGUUGCCACGUACGUACGAUGCAAUAUAAUGGAGAUUGCACACGGUGUUUCAUCAUUUUUCUGUUUUAUAGUCCAGAUUUUGCAUAACCAGUCAAUAUGUAAUACAUGCAAAAAGAUGGCAUUUGGUUAUUGAUUUCCUUCCAUUUUUUACUAUGUAUUUCCGAAUUGGAUAUGUAAUACAUGUAGAAAGGUGUCGAGAAGUCAUUAUGUGAUGGGUAACUUGCUCUGUUUGUGGCUCAGAUCAUUACAGGACCUGCCCUAUUGAACAAGCCAAGAAGGCUAGGAAUGCUUCAGAAGCUGGGGGGCAGAAUAAUGGAGAACAAGGCAGAAUGAAUGUCAAUGUGGAUAACCAAUGGUCAAAUCCUGUCAAUGUGUGUGUUCAAGACCAUGGCAGCAGCUCUGUUGAUGCCCAACUGCAAACAAAACAAGCAACGUUAACGGUCAGCAGAGCACCGAAGAGAUCAAGAAAGAUUUGAGAGUCAUCUUCUGCAGCUCAAACAUCACAAACUGCUCAAGCAACCUCCCAAAUUGUUCUGUCAUCAUCCCAAAGCCCCUGCAUCUGCCUCACAGCCAACUUAAUCAUCACGGAACACAGUGUCUCCCAACUCCUUAGACCCAGUCCCCGGUUGGUGAAGGAGAUCCAACAUUGGCAAGAAAGUGUAACGAGACACCAGAGAAACCAAUUGGACCAAAACAACCAAGCAAGGCAAUAUCUGAUCUCCAAAAGCAGCCUGCCAUCAUGGAAAUUGCGAUUUGAUAGGAAAUGUCCCUUAAGUUCUGUUGUUGUCGGUGUAUGAUGUUUUUUUUGCGCAUCUAAGUACUCUACAUUUUAUAUUUGAAUUUGUUAUGGGAUAUGUUUGAAUACCAAAUGGGAACAGACUUGGAUAUAUGGAUCAACUUCAUAUGAAUGCCCAACUAUGUAGA